GACAGAGGGUGCAAACGUUGUUCGGAAUUACUGGGCGUAAAGGGCGCGUAGGCGGCCACCGCAAGUCGACUGUGAAAUCUCCGGGCUUAACCCGGAAAGGUCAGCCGAUACUGCGGGGCUAGAGUGCAGAAGGGGCAACUGGAAUUCUCGGUGUAGCGGUGAAAUGCGUAGAUAUCGAGAGGAACACCUGCGGCGAAGGCGGUCUGCUGGGCCGUUGCUGACGCUGAGGCGCGACAGCGUGGGGAGCAAACAGG
rnacentral:rRNA from 1 species